GAAUUGUUCGCAAUGGGCGCAAGCCUGACGACGCAACGCCGCGUGGAGGAUGAAGAUUUUCGGAUCGUAAACUCCUUUCGCUCGGGACGAAUGGCUGGAGACCUAAUACGUCUUCAGAGUGACGGUACCGAGAGAAAAAGCCCCGGCUCACUCCGUGCCAGCAGCCGCGGGAAUGCGGGGGGGGCAAGCGUUGUUCGGAAUUACUGGGCGUAAAGGGCGCGUAGGCGGCCUGCUAAGUCACACGUGAAAUCCCUCGGCUCAACCGGGGAACUGCGUGUGAUACUGGCGGGCUCGAAUUCGGGAGAGGGAUGUGGAAUUCCAGGUGUAGCGGUGAAAUGCGUAGAUAUCUGGAGGAACACCGGUGGCGAAGGCGGCAUCCUGGACCGAGAUUGACGCUGAGGCGCGAAAGCUAGGGUAGCAAACGGG
rnacentral:rRNA from 1 species